AGAGUUUGAUCCUGGCUCAGGAUGAACGCUAGCGACAGGCUUAACACAUGCAAGUCGAGGGGCAGCGGGGGUGAGAGCUUGCUCUCACCUGCCGGCGACCGGCGCACGGGUGAGUAACACGUAUGCAACCUGCCUGUCACUGGGGGAUAAGCGGAAGAAAUUCCGUCUAAUACCGCAUAAUAUCCUUGAGGGACAUCCCUUAGGGAUUAAAGGAGCGAUCCGGUGACAGAUGGGCAUGCGGCGCAUUAGCUUGUUGGCGGGGUAACGGCCCACCAAGGCGACGAUGCGUAGGGGUUCUGAGAGGAAGGUCCCCCACACUGGUACUGAGACACGGACCAGACUCCUACGGGAGGCAGCAGUGAGGAAUAUCGGUCAAUGGGCGAGAGCCUGAACCAGCCAAGUCGCGUGAGGGAAGACGGUCCUAUGGAUUGUAACCUCUUUUGUCGGGGAGCAAAGAGGCCACGUGUGGUCAAAAGUGAGAGUACCCGAAGAAAAAGCAUCGGCUAACUCCGUGCCAGCAGCCGCGGUAAUACGGAGGAUGCGAGCGUUAUCCGGAUUUAUUGGGUUUAAAGGGUGCGUAGGCGGGCUGAUAAGUCAGCGGUUAAAAUGCGGUGCUCAACGCCGUAGUGCCGUUGAAACUGUCGGUCUUGAGUGAGCGAGAAGUAUGCGGAAUGCGUGGUGUAGCGGUGAAAUGCAUAGAUAUCACGCAGAACUCCGAUUGCGAAGGCAGCAUACCGGCGCUCAACUGACGCUGAAGCACGAAAGCGUGGGGAGCAAACAGAAUUAGAUACCCUGGUAGUCCACGCCGUAAACGAUGAAUACUAGGACAGGGGCACAAAAGUGCUUUCUGUGGCCGCAGCUAACGCAAUAAGUAUUCCACCUGGGGAGAACGUUCGCAAGAAUGAAACUCAAAGGAAUGGACGGGGACCCGCACAAGCGGUGGAGCAUGUGGUUUAAUUCGAAGCAACGCGAAGAACCUUACCAGCCCUUGACAUCCUGCUGGCAGCCCGGUAAUGCGGGCUUUCCUACGGAACAGCAGAGACAGGUGGUGCAUGGUUGUCGUCAGCUCGUGUCGUGAGAUGUUGGGUUAAGUCCCGCAACGAGCGCAACCCUUAUCUUCAGUAGCCAGCAUUAAGGAUGGGCACUCUGGAGAGACUGCCAGGGACAACCUGGAGGAAGGUGGGGAUGACGUCAAAUCAUCAUGCCCCUUAUGACCAGGGCUACACACGUGCUACAAUGGCGUAAACAAAGGGAAGCGAACACGUGAGUGCAAGCGAAUCCCAAAAAUAACGUCUCAGUUCGGAUUGUAGUCUGCAACUCGACUACAUGAAGCUGGAAUCGCUAGUAAUCGCGAAUCAGAAUGUCGCGGUG
rnacentral:rRNA from 1 species